UGUGGCUUUUGUGACGCUAUAUUUUUACCUCAUUACUCAUACAAAGGGAACUCCCUACUCCCUAGCUUUUUUAUUUAAGCUAACGGGAGCUUUGAUAACCACAUUUUAACGCCUAUGCUCCUUGGAGGAACGACUACGAGAAUUUAGAAUCUUUUUCACCUCGAUUUUCAGGUACUUCAUUUUGGAAAGGAAGAAAAAUGAGCGGUGAUUUAAAAUUGAAAAGUGGAACAAAAGUUCAAAACAUCAAAGGAACAAGUGCUUGCGAGGCAACUGCAGGUACGUGGAAGCGGUUUUAUGAAAGGAGACAUCCCUGGCCAUCUAGCUGUCGUAUAAAGUCUUGUGGAAAUUCUGCUGACGGUGGGGGUCAUGUAAGAAUUGAUGGAAGACCUGGUGUGUAUAUUAUACCAAUGUGUUCCCAUCACAACAAUCCUCACAAAGAUGAAUGGCAAUCUGUCAAUGAAGGCACAAUUGCUGCCCGUGUUGACGAAGAGGAUACAAGUGGGCCAGGUUUCUGCCGUUAACGAAAGAAUGAUAUUCUACGCCUGACAAUCACUUCUCAUGCACAGCAAAUUAGUAGCUACACUCUUUUCUUUUUGAAUAACUUUUUAGUUUUCAUGCAUGCUUUGUAGUAAGUCAAUAUACUUAUAAACUUCUUUUUUUUUAAUGAAAUACGUAAAGUGGAAGUCAAGUCUGUAAGUAAACAAACGGCUUGUUUACAUUUCAAACUUCAAUAUUUUUUAAAAUACGAUAUCCUGUCUGAAUAACCCUAUUUAGGUUUGUUACGCUUCUAAAUUAAUAUGAACUAGAAUUAAUGUUAAGAAAAAAUAAAAAACAUGCGAAAUUUAGGCAAUUUCCACAUCAGAGGGCCCACACUUGUUAUGAGCAGAACCUAUGCGCAGAACGGACUUGACUUCCACUUUAAUGUUAUCAAGUUGAUAAUUGUUUGGAUUGUGUUUAUGUUUAGUUUAAGAUCGUGUGUGAUAAUGUUUACAUGCAAACUCUUGCUCUAUCUCUUAAAAUAUUAUGAAUUGUCAGGAUAUAUAUUUCACAUCAUUUUGUCAUACUAUUCUUUUUAAUUAUAAUAAGUUAAAAUCCCGUAAAAUUUCGGCAAGUCUCUUUGUUAUGAGCCUCAUUAUCUAUGCAAGGCCAAGGGAAAACCCCUCUGGUUCAUAAUCGCCAUAUUGCUAGCUAUAUCAUCGCUUUUAUUAUUUGGAGCGCUUCAGUUAACAAGUUUACAACUAAGAUGCCAGGAAAAAAAGAAAAGGGGACAAAGUCAAAGUCACAAUCAAAUACACGUGUUGAAACACUAUGCAGUGGACAGGAA